GGCCAGUUAGCUCAGUCAGUAGAGGAUAGUGCAAACAACACUAAGGUCGCAGGUUCGAUUCCUGUUCGGUCCC
rnacentral:tRNA from 1 species